rnacentral:rRNA from 1 species
GACAGAGGAGCCAAGCGUUGUCCGGAUUGACUGGGCGUAAAGCGCACGCAGGCGGGUGCGCGCGUGGGGUGUGAAACCUGGCCGCUUAACGGCCAGGCGCCAUCCCAUACGGCGCGGCUGGAGCCAUGCAGAGGGCGGUGGAAUUGCCGGUGUAGUGGUGAAAUGCGUAGAGAUCUGGAGGAACACCGAUGGCGAAGGCAGCCUUCUGGGCCAACACUGACGCUCAUGCACGAAAGCGUGGGGAGCAAACAGG